rnacentral:rRNA from 1 species
ACUUCAAAUCAAUUAAUUCUCGAUGGAAAAGUUUCACUAGUUAUCAAUACGCCAUUAGGUCGGGGCGCAAAACAAGAUGGCUGGUUAAUGAGAACUGCCCAGACUCCUACGGGAGGCUGCAGUCGAGAAUCUUUUGCAAUGGGCGAAAGCCUGACAAAGCGACGCCGUGUGAAUGAUGAAGGCCUUCGGGUUGUAAAGUUCUUUUGCCAGCGAGCAAGAAAGGUAAGUGAAUAACUUGCCGAUUUGAGAGUAGCUGGAGAAUAAGCACCGGCAAACUCCGUGCCAGCAGCCGCGGUAAUACGGAGGGUGCAAGCAUUAAUCGGAAUAAUUGGGCGUAAAGGGCGCGUAGGUGGAUUAGAAAGUCGUUUGUGAAAUUCCGGAGCUUAACUCCGGAGCUGCAAGUGAAACUUCUAGUCUUGAGGAUGGUCGGAGGAAACGGAAUUCCACGUGUAGCGGUGAAAUGCGUAGAUAUGUGGAAGAACACCGGUGGCGAAAGCGGUUUCCUAGAUUAUACCUGACACUGAGGCGCGAGAGCGUGGGGAGCAAACAGGAUUAGAUACCCUGGUAGUCCACGCCGUAAACGCUGCAGACUUGACGUUGAGGGAAUCAACCCCCUUGGUGUCGUAGCUAACGCGAUAAGUCUGCCGCCUGGGGAGUACGCACGCAAGUGUGAAACUCAAAAGAAUUGACGGGGGCCCGCACAAGCAGUGGAGCAUGUGGUUUAAUUCGAUGCAACGCGAAAAACCUUACCUGGGUUUGACAUGCAGAGGACAGGUCUAGAAAUAGAUCCUCCCGCAAGGGUCUCUGCACAGGUGCUGCAUGGCUGUCGUCAGCUCGUGCCGUGAGGUGUUGGGUUAAGUCCCGCAACGAGCGCAACCCUUAUUUUUAGUUGCCAGCACGUAAUGGUGGGAACUCUAGAGAGACUGCCUGGGUGAACCAGGAGGAAGGUGAGGAUGACGUCAAGUCAGCAUGGCCCUUAUGUCCAGGGCUACACACGUGCUACAAUGGGUAGAUACAGAAGGAAGCAAGACCGCGAGGUGGAGCAAAUCCCAAAAACUACCCCCAGUUCAGAUUGGAGUCUGCAACUCGACUCCAUGAAGCCGGAAUUGCUAGUAAUGGCGUGUCAGCAUUAACGCCGUGAAUACGUUCCCGGGCCUUGUACACACCGCCCGUCACAUCAUGGGAGUCGGUUCUGCCCGAAGUCGUUGACCCAACCGUAAGGAGGGAGACGCCUAAGGCAGGGCUGAUGACUGGGAUGAAGUCGUAACAAGGUAGCCCUACGGGAACGUGGGGCUG